AGCAUCCCAGAGUGCAGCUUCCAGCCGGGAUAUUACUCAAACAAUAAGUCCGCUCUACUCACUUUUAAGUUCAGUAAUCAUGAAUGUACAGACCAACAUCAACCAAGGACAGAACCAAAUAACGAAUCAGAACAUCAAUCCCUCUCCUGGUUCAACAUCACAACCUAUAACCACAACAAAUCCUCCAGAUCUCACAUCAACAUCUUCUUCGAUGAAUACUAACACGUCAACUACAACGUCUUCAGUGUAUCCAAGUACAACAACACAACUCACACCAACAGCUACUUCAGUGAAUCCAGAAACAACACAGCUCAAAUCAACAUCUACUUCAGUGACUUCCAGUACGACAACCCAACUCACACCAACAGCUACUUCAAUUAAUCCAGAUACAACAACACAACACACAUCAACAACUUCUUCAAUUACUCCCAAUACAACCACACAACUCACAUCAACAACUUUAUCAAUGACUUCCAAUACAACAACACAACUCAGAUCAACAGCUGCUUCAAUAGAUCCAGAUACAACACAACUCAUAUCAACAAUUUCUU